UACAAAGGCCACUACAACAAUCCAACAAUCAUUCUUGAGGCAUUUGCAUCGAAGGAUAUUUGGAUAUGGCAUUCAUUCUUUGGUAUGCCUUGCUCUCACAGUGACUUGAAUGUGCUAUCAAGAUCACCUCUGUUUUCUAGGCUUAUAAAAGGUGAAGCUCCCGCUUGCGACUACUCGGUCAACGGACACAACUACUCGAUGGGUUACUAUCUUGCGGAUGGCAUCUAUCCAUCAUGGGCCAUCUUGGUCAAAAAAAUUCCGCGUCCAAAAGGUAAUAAAAACACUCACUUUGCCCAAUGUCAAGAA
rnacentral:rRNA from 1 species